GGGGUCACAGUAUAUUAAGUCUUGUUCAUAGCUUGGAUCCUGAAAGCCAUAGGCAUAGUGUACAUAAUAUUGCAUAGGGUGAGCUCUUCAUAGCAUUUCUGUCCAGGCUCGAUCCUGAUGGCCACAAGAUUCGAUGGCUCCAAGCUUACUAGCCUAUCCAUUUUGUUUUUGUUGGCAACUUAACAAGCUAAGCUGAUGAGUUGCUAAUUCUUUAGAUGGAUGAAAGAGAAGUGAAGAAGAAAGGGAAAGUGUAUUUCAAGAAGGGAAGGUGGUCAGCGCUAAUGGAAGAGUGCCAAGCGUCAACUGGCAAGUGGUGGUG
rnacentral:misc_RNA from 1 species